CUCGCCCCGCCCUCUCCCAGUAUCUGCGGGCGGUGCCCGCCGGUGGCACGCGGCAGUUCCUGAGCUUCGCGCCCCGAUGCUGGUGACGGGUGUGUCCAGUUGAAGCGCCCGGGAUUAAGCUCACUAGGAUCGGGCCUGCUCAGACCCCUCCCCCCUCCAGCUGAGUGGGGCGAAUCGCCGCGGGAGUGGUUGCGCCCUGGGGGUGUCUCUAGCUUUCUUGGGUCAGCAGAGCAAGGAAGAACCCAGGCCUGGAAUGAGUCAGAGAAGUAAAGAAGACAAACUAUAAGAAGAGAGCUGCCACUCCUGUCCAGAAUUUGCCAAGAGAUCACUCUGUGUCAUUCUUUCAGCAUGGAUUACAGUGUUGUGAUGCACUUCAGAAAAUCUACUGACAUUGCUGCAUUGUGUGGAACAUCUGCCCUUUUCUUUCAAAUAUAGAUCUCACUGACAAAGGCACAAUUAUUGUAAACUUCUUCCUGUAAUGACUGGGAUCCCUUUGGAAUUGAUCCAGGGACUGUUGUAUGUAGAAUAUGGCUGUCUAGGUAUUCUUUUGUGUGUAAGGUGAAGGGGAAAAAAUAACACCCAUUCUCCACGGGCUGUCCUGGUUGCAGAAAAAAUUGUGGAUUCAAUUCAACAUCUCAUUGAAGUAAUCCUUUAUCUGGGCCCAAGGUGUAUGGCUGUGCCUAUUCCUAUUGCCCUCCAAGCCUGCUGUUCUUAACUUUAAGGGCUUUCACAACUGUGCCCCUCCUUACUUGUCUGCUCUUAUAUCUUGUCCUUUCCCUGCUUCACCAGUGAUGACAGAUUUGACCCCUUGUUUGUCUCCAUCUCAAACAAAUAAUUUUAUACUUUAACCUCUAUCCCUUAUGCAUGCAACAGUCUCACAGAACUAGUCUGUAAAGCCCCAGCCCUCUCCCCAUUUAAAUCCCUCCCCAAGACUUACUUCUACCAUGAUGGCUACCAGAAAUUGCCAGAUGAUAAUGACUAGGUAGAUGCCAGUGGGGAUUGCUGAUAUUUAUUUAUAAAACAUUUUAAAACACAUGUAUAUGAUUUGGAACAUCAAGUUAAGCACAUAAUAAGAACCUGUGUUUUCCACAGGCUAGUUAAUAUGCUCAUCCUCCCUCCGCCUAUGUUUCUUACAUGUGUGUCUUGUCAAAUUAAAUUGUAAGCUCUCCAGGGAAAGGGCUGUACACACAUUUGCACACAUAAUACCAGGCAUGUGUCCUUGUACAGGAUCCUGAGCCUGGUGGUUAGAAUAUUCACCAAGGAUGUGGGAGACCCAGUUCCCAUGUUCCAGUGAUGAUGUAAUUAUUUAUUUACAGUGCAGCAAUUUCAAUAGGAGAGACUGAGGGAGCACUGCAUCAGAAUAGCCCAUAGCCCAGUGAUUAGAGUACACACCUGAGAGGUGGCAGAUCCCUCUUCAAAUCCCUUUUCCUGCUCAGGCACAGGGGGGACUUGAAUGCAGGGUCUCCCACAUCUCAGGUGAGUACCCUAACUGCUGGGCUAAAAGCCCUUCACACACCCAGUUGGCAUCUUCCAUUGGCUAGCUUAGACAGAUCCCUGCCUAGCAUGAUUUUGUGAAUCGUUCCAAAGUGCCAGUCUUUCCCCAUGCAUUGUAUAGGGAGCCUAAGCGCUUAACUUAGGGUUUGUGAAUUCCAGUGAUUUUCUAGACAUCUAAAAGUUAGGUGCUGUGACACUCAGCGCUGCAAUGCCUAACUCCUUUUGUGCAUCCUGGCCUCUGCAACUGUCUUCAAGACUUGUUAGGAUCUGUUCGCCUUUGAUGGCUUGGCCUCCUUUUUUGCAUUUCUUUUUUGGCUUGGCUUUUGUUUUUGAUGACAGAUUGGCUUGUUCUUUCUGGGCCACUGGAGGCAGUUCUCUGUUUUGUCAUCAUUAUCCUAUCCUGUGUAAGAGGGCCAGUGGUAUGAUAAGCACCAUACAAAUAAAACCAAACCUCUGAUUUUUAUGAUAGUCAAGUUGUACUAGUUAAUGGUGUUAAAUGAGGACAUUGCAAUUACAUGCAGUGGAUAUAUAGUAUUCCCUUCUAUAGACGAUUUAAGCUUUUAUUAGUUCAAAACUCUAAUGAGGCCUACAGAAUAAAACAACCCAAAGCAGUAUGUUGAUGUCAGACACAGCAGGAGGAUUGAAAAGAAUACCUAGUAGCAGGGCCGGCUCCAGCAUUUCUGCCGCCCCAAGCAGAAAAGAAAAAAGCCGUGAUCGGCGGUGGCAAUUGAAAAAAAAGCCGCGAUCGGUGGCGGCAGUUCAGCGGCAGGUCCUUCGCUCCUAGAGGGCCCCCGAAUUGCCGCAGGUGCCGCCCCUCUCCCUUGGCCGCCCCAAACACCUGCUUGUUAAGCUGGUGCCUGGAGCCGGCCCUGCUAGUAGCAAGGACUUGGUUUGUAUAAGACACUUUAAUGUUGAACGUAAACUUCUAAAUGUCCCAGUGGAGUCCGGGAUUCUCAUUUAAACAAGCCAGAUGAUUUCAGAAUAAUAUAGCAGAACUUUGUGUUGUGUAAUAUAUAACAUUAGCAGCAUAUGGAAAUAUAAAUUCGUACAUCAAGAUUAAAAUCAAUCUGCAUGUACACAGAUUUCAUUUCUAAUCAAAGUUACAGUAGAUUUUUAUAAUCAGCCUUGCACUUAUGACAAACUUCAAUGUAUCAUAUUGUCACUUGAUUAAUAUGAGCAUAUCCUGUCUUCAGUAAAAAAUAUAUAUGAAGCCUAAUAUCCUUCCAAGCAGACUGGUGGUCUAAGUAGCAUUAUAUUCUACCAGACAGUGACAAGUCAACUUCAGAAAUUGUUCUUGCACUCUUAACCUGGGAAAGCAGGGGCUGGACAUUCAAACCCUGUGGAGGCGGAGACAAACACUUGUCACUUUAUAGUGACUCAUCUGGAUGUUUAGGCAGCAAUACUGAUUAGAUCCAAAGCCUGGUAUCCAGAUCUCUUUUAUCAGCUAGCGAGUCAUUAUGACAUGAGAUUGCAGAGAAGGUGGAACAGGAAAAAAGAAGUGUUUUUUUUUAAUUCUGUUUUUAUUGUAAAUUAUUAGGAUAAUAAUUUCACCACCAGUGAAAACAUUUGUGUGAGAUACUCAUACUUCAAAUGAAGUUACUGUAGUGUAGUACAUGCUUUGUGGCUGAUGUAAAGUCUAACUGCAUUGUUUGUCAUAGUUGUGUGCGUAACAAGCUAUUUGAAAAUUUCCUGCUAAUACUGUUAUAUAAGUCAACUCAUCUCUAAUUUAAAUAAGGAAGUGAACUUGGAUACUUAAUGUUUUCACAGAAGAAUAGGGUUAAAAUGUACGUGAUUCCCACUGAAUUAAAUGUAUUUUAUGAAAACGAAAAA